rfam:Stegodyphus mimosarum contig82308, whole genome shotgun sequence.
GCCUUCGUGGUGUAGUGAUCAGCACACUCGGUGCGUAUUCGAGGUGUCCGUGGUUCGAGUCCCGGCGAGGGCA